rfam:Danio rerio chromosome 4, GRCz11 reference primary assembly.
GCAUUGUUGGUUCAAUGGUAGAAUUCUCACCUGCCACGCCGGAGACCCGGGUCUGAUUCCCGGCCAAUGCA